UCCCCGGUAGUAUAUCGGUUAGUACACCCGCCUGUCACUGAUUGGCCGGUUCGCGGGAGAGCGGGGUUCGACUCCCCGCCGAGGAG